AAUGAACGCUGGCGGCGUGCUUUACACAUGCAAGUCGAGCGAGGCCGGGUAGCAAUAUCCGAGUCGAGCGGCGAACGGGUGAGUAACGCGUGGAUGACCUGCCCUUUAGUGGGGAAUAACCCGGGGAAACUCGGGCUAAUACCGCAUAAGACCGAGAGGUGAAAAGGGGCCGCAAGGCUCCUGCUGAAGGAGGGGUCCGCGUCCGAUUAGCUAGUUGGUAGGGUAAUGGCCUACCAAGGCGACGAUCGGUAGCCGGCCUGAGAGGGCGAUCGGCCACACUGGAACUGAGACACGGUCCAGGACUCCUACGGGAGGCAGCAGUGGGGAAUUUUGCGCAAUGGCGAAAGCCUGACGCAGCAACGCCGCGUGGAGGAUGAAGGUCCUUGGAUUGUAAACUCCUGUCAGCGGGGAAAAAGGGAGGCGA
rnacentral:rRNA from 1 species